CUUCCGUAGUGACCUGCGGAAGGAUCAUACCACACCUAAAAAACUUUCCACGUGAACCGUUUCAAACCCAAUAGUUGGGGGUCUUAUUUGGCGGCGGAUGCUGGUCCUAAUUGUUGGCGGCUGCUGGUGAGUGAGCCCUAUCAAAAAAAAGGCGAACGUUUGGGCUUCGGCCUGAUUUAGUAGUCUUUUUUUCUUUUAAACCCAUUCCUUAAUACUGAAUAUACUGUGGGGACGAAAGUCUCUGCUUUUAACUAGAUAGCAACUUUCAGCAGUGGAUGUCUAGGCUCGCACAUCGAUGAAGAACGCUGCGAACUGCGAUACGUAAUGCGAAUUGCAGGAUUCAGUGAGUCAUCGAAAUUUUGAACGCAUAUUGCACUUCCGGGUUAGUCCUGGAAGUAUGCCUGUAUCAGUGUCCGUACAUUAAACUUGACUUUCUUCCUUCCGUGUAGUCGGUGGAGGAGAUGUCAGAUGUGAAGUGUCUUGCGAUUGGUCUUCGGACCGGCUGCGAGUCCUUUUAAAUGUACUAAACUGAACUUCUCUUUGCUCGAAAAGUGGUGGCGUUGCUGGUUGUGAAGGCUGCUAUUGUGGCAAAUUGGCGACUGGUUUGUCUGCUGCGGCGUUAAUGGAAGAGUGUUCGAUUCGUGGUAUGGUUGGCUUCGGCUGAACAAUGCACUUAUUGGACGUUUUUCCUGCUGUGGCGUGAUGGACUGGUGAACCAUAGCUCGGUGGCUUGGCUUUUGAAUUGGCUUUGCUGUUGCGAAGUAGGGUGGCAGCUUCGGUUGUCAAGGGUCGAUCCAUUUGGGAACUUAAUGUGUACUUCGGUAUGCAUCUCAAUUGGACCUGAUAUCAGGCAAGAUCCCCGAUUCUUCUAU
rnacentral:rRNA from 1 species